UACGUAGGGGGCAAGCGUUGUCCGGAAUCAUUGGGCGUAAAGCGCGUGUAGGCGGCUCGAUAAGUCUGCUGUGAAAGUCCAGGGCUCAACCCUGGGAUGCCGGUGGAUACUGUCGAGCUCGAGUCCGGAAGAGGCGAGUGGAAUUCCUGGUGUAGCGGUGAAAUGCGCAGAUAUCAGGAGGAACACCGAUGGCGAAGGCAGCUCGCUGGGACGUGACUGACGCUGAGACGCGAAAGCGUGGGGAGCAAACAGG
rnacentral:rRNA from 1 species